CUCAAGAUGUGCCAAGGGGCUGCAGGUUAUAAGGACAUUUAAUUUUAUCUAUAUUUCCUUCUGCCUUUGUUUCCUACGUCAUGUGGAGGGGAGGGUGAUGUUAGGGCUCCAAGAAGUUGAGUCUGCGGGUUUCUGGAAGUUAGGCUAUUGAUAAGAGUGCUUUUUCCUUGUAAAUCACUAAGACAUUUGUAAACUGGGGGAGACUCCCGUCCUGCAGGACUGUGAUCUCUACUAGUUAACCAUUUGUUUUUUGCUUCCCUUAAUUUUAGGGCAGCGAGGGGUGCCUGAGGAAGGUCACACAGAUCCCACCUGGGAGUCGGGGGCGGGGUGGUGUUGAGGUGUCACCUUGUGCUUUGUCCUCAGAGAGCCUUCUGUGCCCUCAUCAGCAGUACAGGAACACAUGAAUGGGAAUGCGUGAGAGUGCUCUGUGAACGGGAAACUACUGAAACACAACAUGUUGCCUUCUCAAGCCUCAGAGUAUCAGCAGCCAUCUUGUGACCAGGAGGUGAGACGCAUGAAGGAGAGGCCAAGACUACUGUAGAGCUGCUGGGGCUGACAUUUUAUUUCCAGAUCAGUGCCAAGAGUCCUAUCUCCAGAUUUCCUAUU